GUUUUAUGUUAUAGUUAUACAUUCAAAACACAUGUAAUCGUUCACGGUGUGUUGUUCACCUUCUUGCGAAGGCUCACUUCUUUAAUGAUCCUUCCGCAGGUUCACCUACGGAAA
rnacentral:misc_RNA from 1 species